rnacentral:rRNA from 1 species
GACGAACGCUGGCGGCGUGCCUAAUACAUGCAAGUCGAACGCAGUGGGGACGGGUGAGUAACACGUGGGUAACCUCCCAUCAGAGGGGAUAACACUUGGAAACAGGUGCUAAACCGAUACUGAUGGAUGGACCCGCGGUGCAGUAGCUAGUUGGUGAGGUAACGGUUCACCAAGGCCACGAGGCAUCGACGCCCUAAGUGGGUGAGCUGCCAGACUGGUACUGAGAGACGGCCCAGCCUCCUACGGUAGGCCGCAUGAGGUAAUCGUCGGAAAUGGACGAAAGUCUGACCGAGCAACGCCGCGUGAGUGAAGAAGGUUUUCGGAUCGUAAAACUCUGUUGUUAGAGAAGCGGUAUCUAACCAGAAAGCCACGGCUAACUACGUGCCAGCAGCCGCGGUAAUUC